CGCUAAUACCGCAUACGUCCUACGGGAGAAAGCCGGGGGGAUCUUCGGACCUCGCGCCAUUAGAUGAGCCUAGGUCGGAUUAGCUAGUUGGUGAGGUAAUGGCUCACCAAGGCGACGAUCCGUAACUGGUCUGAGAGGAUGAUCAGUCACACUGGAACUGAGACACGGUCCAGACUCCUACGGGAGGCAGCAGUGGGGAAUCUUGCGCAAUGCGCGAAAGCGUGACGCAGCAACACCGCGUGGGGAAGACGGCCUUCGGGUUGUAACCUCUUUCAGGAGGGACGAAGGUCGGCCGGUUAACAGCCGUGCCGGCUGACGGUACCUCCAGAAGAAGCUCCGGCUAACUACGUG
rnacentral:rRNA from 1 species